AUCCGUGAACUUUAAAAUUCGUGAACAAUUUUUUAGUGUUUUUCGCAUUUGUGAUUUUUGAUUUUUUUUAAAAUUCCCUAUUUGUGAAGAUUUUUUUUGAAGAUGUGAACAUUUUUUGAACACGUGACGUUUUUGGAAUUUGCAUACAUUUUUUAGAAUCCAUGCACAAUUUUUGAAUUCACCAUGAACAAUUUUUGAAUUCGUGAACAUUUUGGAGUUUACAAUUGUCUUGAAUACGUAAACAUUUUUCGAAUAUGUGAACUUUUUGGAAUUUGCGGAAGUUGUUUUAGAAUCCACAUAUAUUUUUUGAAAUUGACUUGAGCAUUUUAUGAAUUCACAAUAUUCUUCAAUAUGUGAACAAUUUUUCGUAUUCAUGUACUUUUUUGGAUUUGACGAACUUGAUUUGAAUACAUGAACAUUUUUUCACAAACUUCUUUUGGAAUCCGUGAACAAUUUUUAAUUUGUGAGCAUUUUUUAAUUCACAAACUAUUUUUUGAAUACGUGAACAUUUUUGGAAUUGGUGAACAACUUUUGAUUUUGCAAACACAUUUUUUGAAUUUAUGAACAUUUAUUUAAUUCGUAAACAUAUGUUUUGAAUUUGUGAACAUUUAUUGAAUUCGCAAACUCUUUUUUGAAAUUUGCCUUGCAUGUUAGUUGAUUCUAAGGACAUGGUGUGAUGUAUAAAGAAUUGUGGUCAAUGCUCUGUUCGGUGUUUGGGUCAAAUUAUUAUUAGGAAGUAGGGGUUAACGUUUGCCAAAAAAGUAGGAGUAUGACUAUCCCACUCGCUCCUGUUUGCAUGGCCCGCUUUGGAGAAGAAUACACCAACCAUUUUGGCAGCGGGCCUAUAACUCAUCUCAUCAAUUUAGUAUAGGCCUCAUUCGUCUAAUAUGCCAGUCAUCGAGUCCUUUCCCGUAUUUCUCUUAGUCUCACUCCCAACCACUUCAUGAUCCGAGAGAGGCAAAACGCUCAAACUAGGCACGAGGGGAUUGCUUAAAGUCAUAGAGAGAGCAAUGAAGGGAAAAAAGCAUGUCGUCAGGAGUACACUACCCAGGUGGUGGCUGCAUGUAAACCUCCUCAUGCAGCUCACCAUUAAAAAAGACAUUCUUAACAUCAAGCCGAGACAGACUUAUGGCGAACAGAGGCCAUAAAAGAAGUGUGCAAGAAGUGGUCAUAUGGUUUGCAGGAGCAAAAAGUCUCAUCGUAAUCAGGACUCGUAAUCAGAACCAUGCUCCUGCUGAAAGCCACGAGCCGCAAGACGAGGUUUGUAAUGCUCAAGAGAACCAUCAGAGCGAGUCUUAACUUUAUAGACCCACCAAGUGAUGGGACGAACAUGAGGAGGAAGAGGAACAAUAUCCCACGUGCCAAUGUGCUCAAAGAGCAGCAAUCUCUGCCAUGGCAAGGUGCCAUUUGGUAUGAACAACAUUACUAUAAGAAGUUGGCUCAAGAACAACAGCACCAACGCUUGGAAGAUUAAGGCGAUCAACGGUUCGAAGCGGAGGAGGAAGGUAGCCAUAAGUAGGCUGAGACGAGGAAGAUGGUACAUCUGUAGACGCAUCCACAACACAUAGACGACGUGUAUAAAAGUGAGAAAAAGAUGGAAGAAUACGAGCAGGAAUCAUCGGGAUAAACUCAUGUGAUAGAGACAAGGAAGCCACUGGUGGUGAAGGUGUAGAAUCAUGUGAUAAGCGAGGUGAGGAAAUCAUAGGAGAUGAUGGCACUGGAUCUGCAAUAAUCGAAGAAGCAGGAGCAGUACAAUGAAUGGAUAAGGGCUCAAUAGGAGUGUCAGGAAAUUUUUAAAGAAGAGAUAUCCUCCACUGGAAAGGUAGAAGGAAGAGACUCAUCAAAAGUCAUACCCCAAGAAAUAGGCAUCUGAGGACCAACAUGAUCCCAACAACGAUAUCCCUUGUGCUCAUCGUUGUAUCCUAAGAAGACACACUCUACAGACUGAGCAGUCAGUUUAGUGCAUUCAUGUGGGGCAAGAAUGACAUAGCAAACAUAACCAAACAAUUGAAGUGCCGAAUAACCAGGAAACAAUCAAAUAGACGCUUGAAAGGAGUGCCACCCCGCAGAGCAGUGGAUUGCUGAAGAUUGAUGAGAUAGAUGGAAGUGGAGACAGAGUCGGCCCAAAAGUGCGGCGGAAGAGAGGUAGUGACUAUCAACGGACGAGCCGUCUCAAGAAGGUGACGAUGCUUGCACUCAGCCAUGCCAUUCUGAGCAUGUGCACCAGGACAAGAGAACUGAGCAAGAUUACCUUGCUCAGCAAGGACUACACGUAACAGCUUGGAGAUAUAUUUUCUCGAGCAAAGUCAGCAUAAAACACAUGAAUAGGCGUAGAGAACCGAGUGUGAACCAUGGCAGCAAAACACAUAUCUAGAUAAGACCUCACUACGGGAGAAAUAAAGUAUAUCAAUGUGUGUCAAGAUAAAUCAUCUAUAUAUAUUCUCCAGUAGAGUCAGCAUAGAACACACGAAUAGGCGUAGAGAACUGAGUGUGGACGAUGGUAACAAAAUGCUUAUAUAUAGAUAAGACCUCACUAUGGGAGGAAUCAGGGCCGGGCAAGCAAAAUCAGAGUCCCUGUGCGAAACUCAUCCCCGCAGUCUAUAUCUAUAUCUAUAUCUAUACCUACUAAUAAAGCAAGGUGAUAUUCUUGGUUUCGUCCCGCUUAAACAAUAUUUUCCUACUUGAGGUGGUACUAAAAAUUCGUCCAUCUAGAAUAAGCCGUAAGUUGUUUUCGUGACGCUCAAGCUGGGCAGAUUUUGGGCCUAGCAACGAGCGAGGCAAGUGGGCUUUCUACUGAAGUUUUUUUAAUGGGUCGUGAGCACGUGAGUGGACUUUUCAAAAUCGGUGUACAUGAGUUGUUUGAACCGAACUCACGAGCUUUCGUCCUGUCUCACCUCGCUUCUUUGGAUAUAAUUUUGCCGGUUCAUAUACGUAAGCUGUUUGGAGGAUCAACAAGCAGGAAGGAGGCGAAAAAGAAUUAACCCCAACACGGAACGAAGGAACACCAGAAUCGAUCGAAAGGAGCAACCGCCGGAUCCGGGGGAAUCCUGCCCGUUCCGCGAGUGAGUGGACGGCGGACGCGUGGCAGCGGCGGCGCUGGCGCCAUUCCGGCGAGGCGAGCUGGCAGUGGGAUUGGGCGCUUGGGCGCGGGAGUGAGUGGACGGGGGACGCGGGGCGGCGGCAGCACUCCGACGAGGCGAGCUGGUGGCGGGAUUGGGUGCUCAGGCACGCGAUCUCCCACGAAUCCACUGGGCCUGCCCCAUCAUCCGCGCCGCAGCGCGACUCCACCGGCAUGGAGGCCCGUGCCUGGGCAGCCGCCGCCUCGGCGUUUCGUCUCCUCCGGAGGCACUGCGAAGGGGGCCAUUGAUCUCGGUGUAGCUUCACUUUAUGCAUUUCGGGUGGAGUUUCUCUACAAGAGGUCGGAUAAGUACUUGGCAGUUGGCAUGGCGGCGUGUCAGGCUGGUUGCAGCGGUGCGGAGGGAGACCUUGACCUUCGCCGCUGGCUGAUCUGGGGCGGUGCAGAAGGAGAGUUCAAAAGCAGCUCGCGGCUGCACUACGGCUGGCCGGAGGGAGCUGGGCAAGAGAUACUGAGGGGCUCUACUGCCUCGAGCAUGGCAUACAACCCGAUGGCAUCAUGCCAAGUUAGCUUUUUUAUCUUUCAAUUCUUUCACUUGUUUGUCUUUUACUUUCAGAGCUUACAAAAUCUUAGAUGUUGCUUACAAAAAAUUCAGAUACAAUAUUUUGAUUGCAGACUGCAUAUAUUCAGCAAGUAGAUGCCUUCUCGACUGAAUUGUAAGCCAUGAUCGAAGUUUAGUGGUAUUGAAACAGAAAGGCAGAUGACGAUUAAUUUUGUUAUUGCCAGUCUCAACUUUAAUCUCAGAAUCUAGCCGGUCAGUGUUUGUGUCCAGCUUGGGCUAGCUAAACUCAAUAGUGUUUGUCCGGCUUGGGCUGAAAUUUUAAUUAGUCUAGCUAGCUCUUGCUACGUACUUGAUCCAGCCUACGGAUCAAUUAAGGCAUUUCUCUGAAUUAAUUUUGCAUCUACCGCAAAGCAAUUCACUUGAUGUGUUUCUUCGUCCAAAAGUACCGACUGCUAGGAUCACACAUCGUGCUCGUCAAAAUGUAUACUACGUGUUCAGGUGUGCGCCAACACUAACCAAACACAUACGACAACACCGACGCCACCUUGUAAGAUUCGAGGACCCGGUGAAAUCAAGCGGACAAAAUGGGGCGGCCAUGUCAAAUGAAGUCCAGCAUGACUUGGUUCAUUGUGUACGUGUGCAUCUACUCACCAAAAAAAUAAGGUUGCUCGGCAUACUAGCUAGCAAGCCUCUCAGAAAUUUCAUCCAUUUUGCCUUCUUCCAAAAUCAUGUACACGUGUGUACAUUGUUGUGGCCAAAAACAUCGACCAGCAAGUUUGUCCGGGAUACUUCGGUACACAACGACAUUCGGGGCAUCACCAACAUGGCAAACAAGCAAAUCCUGAACUUCUUUGAACAACAAAGGGGCUAUAUUGAGGAGGUGUGGUGCGAAGGCCACACACGAUAAGUGCGGGGAGCUGCGGGGGCACACAGCAGAGAGGUUGAGGAAGAGCUCGUGGAACGAAUAUGUUGAUAGGGUAGGCAAACACACAACGCGCUUCACCUCUUCCACGAGACCUUGCGGUUUCUACUCUAGCCGGGGCUCCACGCCGAUAUUUUCGAGUUGAGGUCAGCAUCAUGAACAACUGUGGUCAUGUGACUGUUAGAAAUACUAUCCUGCUCACUCUGUCAACCGCAUAGCCUCGCCGCGGGUCGAGAUUGUAAUUGCCACUUUGAGGUCGAGACAUCUAUUUUGUAUCUGGGAAAAAGGAUGAAGCCACGAUAAUGAUUGGACGUCGUGUUGAUCUCCCGUGGCAACGCACGGGCAUGUUUACUAGUAGAAAAUUAAAACAUGUGUAGUGUAUAUAUCAUAGUGUCUUACAUAGCAAGGAAUAUAUUCAAGAAUCAUACCUAUUCGAAGCUUGGUUGCAUAGUCUUUACUUGAAUAACAACAUUCUUUUAGUGUUCUUUGAAAUGAAAUCUUCAAUAUCCUCGUAAUCAAUGUUCUCCAACACUUCACUCUCAAGUGCUAUUGUGGCCAAAUCAGUAAGCCUUUGUUGUGUCAUUGUAGUACACAAAUACGACUUCAAUAGCUUCAAUUUCGAAAAGCUUCUUUCUGCUGAUGCAACAGUCACAGGAAUGGUCAAUAGAACUAUGUAUGCAACACCUGCAUUGGGAAAACAAUCAUGUCACUCUAAAAACUUUAGAAUUUCAACUGGCCCAUAUCAUCCUUUGGAAUGGAAUCUUUAAGUAAUGUAAACUCCACUACAGUUCAUUGGCAUCAAUGUUAGAUUUGCCAUUUUUUAAGGGUUGCCUCAAGAUUAUCACAAGAUUUCAAGCUCUCAUUAUCCAAUGACUGCAAUGAUUUGGAAGUAAAUAAAAAACGAAAAUCUUUUUGCUAACCUCAUAUUGUUCAAAUCUGAUUGUAAGUGACAUAAUUGCUUGAUCAACAAUAGUUGUAAAAUAACCGUUUCUAAAUGAUUCCUCUGCAGACUGUGUGGGAACAUUUGUGUCAUCCGGGUUCUCAUCAAAAUGUCUCUUUCUUUUAAUUCCCCGUCUUUCAUGAAAUGUUGUGCUAAUAACCAUAUCAAGUGCAAUUUUUUUGGCUAUCUCCAAUGCUUCUAAAAGCCACUUUCUCUAUACCCUUCGAAAAAAAUCAACCCUUUCACUUUCUCAAUAGCAACAUCUAUAAGCAUAUCCUUUGCUUGCAAGUGUUUGCUUACUAAAUUAACAACAUAUAAUACCUCAGACCAAAUUACUAUUGCCACUAUAAGUUCAUACUCCCUAGGUUCAUUAUUUGCCAAACCUUUGCCUUGCUGCUCGUUUUAUUUUUUUCGAGAAAACGCAAAAGAUUUGCGUUUCAUUGUAUUGAAAAGAGGGGGUUUGUUACAAUCCUCCUAGAAGGCGAGUUGCAGGGCAAAUACAAGGGCAUUAGUGAACAUCCCAGGUUUGGGGCAGGAUGACGCGGAGGCCAAGGGCCCCAGCUCUGGCCCAAAGAGCAGCCUCGGCCUUGAUCGUGGCGAUCAGGGAGGUGACCGAAGGGCGGUCUCUCUCGAAAACGCAGCCAUUGCAAUGUUUCCAAAUCAUCCAUGGCACGAGCAGAGUGGCGGAGGCGAGGCCUUUGUGCAUCGGCUUGGGCGUGUUCCGUUUAGCCAAGCGCCACCAGUCGUGAAGCGAGGCGUCGUUGUUGGGUGGCGGACAAGGGAGGCGCAGCCACGAGAGGAUCUCAUGCCAUACCUGGCGAGCGAAGGGGCAUCCCAGGAGAAGGUGGUGCAGUGUCUCUGGGGCCUGAUCGCAGAGCGGACAGCAGGGUGGGCGAGGCAGGUUACGGCGCGGGAGGUGGUCGGCAGUCCAGCAGCGGUCGAGGUUCGCAAGCCAGUGGAAGAAGCGCACCCGUGGUGGUGCCCAACACUUCCAAGUAAGCCUCCAGGCCUGGCAGGUUACGAUGCUGCUCGUUUUAUAUCAUUAUCAGUUUCAGAUACCUAAAAUGAAAAGAAAGGAAAUAUAUGUUAUAGUUGGAGAUAGCCAAAGGAAUUACAUAAUAAUCAAUAUAAAAAUAUUUGGGACCUAAUAGAGCCUCCCAAAUGGCUGCACAUUGAAAUCUGAUAGCUUUAACACUGUUGACACAACUCUCCCAAUGUGUUGCUGAUACUAACUUGAGCGUCACUCCUAUAUAUGUUAUCUUUUAGAAUUGCAUUUCUUCGUAAAAAUUGCAGAAGUUAUAUAAAUGUCUUGGAUGAUAUCACAAAGUGUUAAAUUAAGGCUAUGGCAACCACAAGUAGAAUAGAUCGCUCUAGGAUUUACAUUCAAAACUCUCCUUUGUACCCCAUGAUGUUUUCCUUUCAUAUCUGACCCAUUAUCAUGCCCUUGUCCUCACAUUAUCUAUAUCAAGAUCAAGAAGCUUAAGUUCAUUCUCUAGCACUUCUAAAAGUCCUUGCCCAGUCGUACCAUUUACAUCUAAAAAUCCUAGAAAGGAUUCUUCUACACAAACAUGACUUGAAGAUGAAUCCACAUACCUAACAAUUGAAGAUAUCUGUUCUUGGUGGCUUGCAUCAAGGUACAAUCAAGUAUGACCGAGAAAUAUUUGCACUCUUUAUUUUCUUAACAAUCUCAAACUUAAUAGCUGAAGCAAGCAAGUGUAUCAACUCAUUCUAAAUCUUGUGAUCAAGAUGAUGAGCAUGAGUUUCUUCAUUUGUAAUACGACAAGCAUGCUCUUGAAUAACUGUGUUAAAUUCAGCCAACAUCUCUACUAGAUCCAAGAAAUUCCCAUUGCUAUCUUCAUACAGUUUGAUGUUACUACCACAAAAGGCUAGAUUAUGCUUGGCAAUAAAUUUAAUAAUGUAAACAAUUCUGGAGAAAAAAAUUCUCCAGUGCUCCUUUUCAUUCUCAAGUUGACCUUGAGCAUCUUUAUCAAUAGUUUGAUGCUUUUGCAAUCUAGUAGUAGAGAGCUCAUACCAAGUGGUCAUAUUCAAAACAUGAUCUACACUUGUCUCAUGCUCUUUUAAGUGUAUUGCCAAGAUGUGUCCAAUCAUCACUGCCAACUGACCUUUUCUAUGCCCUUUUGUAAAUAAUUUACAACCAAAGCAAAAUAGUCUAUUCAGGUCCUUAGAAUAGACAAGGUAAUCUCUAUCGCAAUGCUCCCCAUUUGACAUAAUUCUAGUAUAGAAUAGUGCAGAAAACCCUGCUAGAAUAUCUAUCCUUAGGACCUUUCUGAAAUUGUGAGUCUCUUUUAGGGCCCUUUUGUGCUAAAUUGUCAAUCUGCUUAGGAUCAAGACAACCCCAGUUUCUUGGAUCCAAUAUAUCAACAUGAAAAGAACCACCGACAUCCGCAACAGGUGAAGUAUUUGAGUUAACAUCAAUACUAGUUGUCCUGAUGUCAUCACCAUUAUUAUGCAUAUCAAUAUUUGUGUUACCAAUAAGAUCAUCAUCAACCUCAUCAUUAUUUUCUUUAUUUGCUUGUUCAUCUCUAUGAUCAUUGUCAACAUUAUUAUCAACCAUGAGGCCUUGAUCCUGUGAUUGAUUAUUAGAGGACACGUGUGGUUCUUUUGCAACAAACUUAUCCAUGGCUCCUUUCUGUAAUCGACCUAACUUCUCUGUUUUUUGUUUUUGUCAAACGCUUUUGGUAACCGGAUUCAUGUUCUCUAUCCUGAGAAGACAUGACUUGGAUCUUGAAACAUGUAGAGAAAAGAUGUAAAAUAACAUAAUUAACAAGCUAUUGGCAUAUAUUAAAAUUGCUAGAUGGAAUGCGAUCUGCGGAACUCACGGAUCGAUGGCCGACAGCUGAUAGAAGCACAUGCUGAAUUGGAUGGGGAUGGAUCGAUGGAGGAUCGCCGAGCUUCAAGCGUCGUAUUGGAAAAAGAGGAGAGGAGCCGAACAGACAAGAGAUGAGGGUAGGAGGCGGCGUUGGAGAGGACUUGUCCACUCGACUUGGUGUCCUCGAUGGCUCAAUGCCUUGAUUGCUCGUCGCCUGGGCUCCAUGGGAGACUCUAUGCAUCCUAGACGCGCUAGCGCUAGCGGGGCGGCUUACGGGCCCAUGCUGGAUAUCGAGCAGCAGGCCUGUUGGCUGCUGCUUGCUAUGGGCUGCCUUGUGCUAGGAAUUUCAUGGCCCCUGGAAAUUGGCCAUGUUCCGUUGCACGGACUACACGCCCAUGGGCUCAGGCCUGGAAGAAAUCAAGUAUAUGCAUGUGUGUUAAGAGAAAUCAUCUAUAAAGAUAAUAUACUAGUGAUGACCUCCUUCCAAGGCAAAGGGAGAUGGACCCCAGACAUCAGACUGAACAAGGUCGAAAGGACGCUUGCUCGUGCUCCUGCUCGCCGAUGGUGGUGCUCGAGUGUGCGGUGAUGUGGCCACCCAACAAGGGAAGACAAGAUGUGGGAUCGAGGCAACACACAUAGUAACCCACAACCAGGCAACGGAUGCCCAGCCGGACUGGUAGGGAGCGGAGGUGGAUACAAAGGUGGACUUUGAGCUUCAUAGGAGUCUUAAUAGUGUGCUCAUCAGUAAGAGCAGGAAAAUCCUGGAUAUACUUCUCUUGGGAAAUAAAGAAGCCAUUAAAGGUAGAAGAAACCUCAAUCUCAAGAAAGUAGCGAAGAGGACCAAGAUCAGACAUAAGAAACUCACUAUGACGAGCCUUCACAAAGGCAAUGUACUUAUAAUGUUGUCGGUGAUGAUCGACAUAUAGAAUAAGAGUUCGCCCACGAGUUGAAAUGUAGACAAAAAGUGCAGGAUCAUGAGCACUCGCCGAAAAACCAGCCGCAAUCACUAUUGAGAUGAAACGCUCAGACUAGACACGAGGGGUUUGCUUAAGGCCAUAUAGAGAGCAACAAAGACGACAAACCAUGUCAUCAGGAAGAGAAGCCACAACGAAAAGUGUGCGAAGAGUGGUCAUUUGGGCCAUAGGGGCAAAUGUCUCAUCAUAGUCAUGACCAUGUUCCGACCACUAGACGAGCUUUGUAAUGCUCAAGAGAACCAUCAGAGUCUUAACCUUGUAGACCCACAUACAAGUGAUGAGACGAGCACAAGGAGGAAGGGAAAUGAGAUCCCACGCGCCAAUGCGCGAAAGAGCAUCAAUCUCCGAUUCCAUCACAUGCUGCCAUUCGGGAUGAGCAACAACGUCAUGAUAAGUCGUCUCGAGAAGAGCGGUGCUAGAAUAACCAUAGCGGUCAGUAGGUGGAAGCAGGCGAGCUCGAAAGCCAUAAGUAGGCUAAGUUGGAGGUGGUGCGUUGUCUAACAGAAGACAGUAGUCGAGGGAGAUGGCUCAUCAGAAGGUUCACAACACGCGGAUGACCAGUGUAGUAAAGAAGAUGAUGAGGGGGGAUCAAUGGGGAAGCCUCAGGUAAUGAACGAGGUGGGGAAGCCGCAAGUGACGGUGUGGGGUCUACAACAGUAGUAUGGGAAGACAAGGUGGGAUGGGUGGACGAGGGCAAUACUUGAGUGAUAGGUGUAUUUGAAAAAGUGAGGAAAUAAAUAUCCUCAAUGGGGGAGGUCAGAGAGCAUGGACGUGGAUAUAAAGGACGAGACUCAUCAAAAGUCACAUCCCGAGAAAUGUGCAUCCGACGACUGGCAGGAUCCCAACGCAGAUAGCCCUUGCUCAUCAUUGUAACCUAAGAAGACACAUUCAACAGACUAAGUAGUUAGUUUGGUGCAUUUAUGGGGGGCAAGAAGAAUGUAGCAAAUGCAACCAAACAAAUGAAGUGUUGAGUAGUCAAGAGAACAACCAAAAAGAUGCUCGAGAGGAAUGUCAGUCUGUAGAGCAAAGGAAGGAUUAAUGUUGAUGACAAUCAUCAACGCAAAAGUGAGGUGGAAGAGAGGCGACAAUCAUCAACGCACGAACCGCCUCAAGAAGGUGAUGCUGCUUGUGCUCAGCAACACCCUUCUGAGUAUGAGCACCAGGACAGAGAACUAAGGAAGUGUGCCCUGCUCAAUAAGGAAUCCACCCAGCAAAUGGGAGAUGUACCUAAGGAUCCUGAAGCCGUUGAGUUCCACAUGAAGCACACCUUGCUCCAGGCCACCAUGCAUUGCCCGUCGUUGACUAUGUCGGUCCCGCUCUAAAGGAAAACGCGAAUGUACUUCUCGACCGCCACAACGAAAACGCGAAUGUACUUCUCGACUAUGGCGAUGGCUUGAUAAACUGGAAUGGAGAGAAGUACUAAUUUGACAAGCAUGAGCCAGCCUCCCAUGUUUAGUAGAUUCUCAAUCCAAGUGGGGAUGCAGUUGAGAACUUUGUCUAGAAGAGGCUACAUGUGGACUGUGCGAAUCUUGCACAACAAGGGGAGGCUAAGGUAGGUGCACGGGAGCGCUGGGAAAGCACAUGCGAAGCUUAGCUUAUAAUCAAUUAAAUCUCGGUGAUGCUGCAAUAGAUUGGUGCAAAGGAACACUUGUCGAAGUUGGUGCAUAAGCUCGAUGUGCCACCAAGAUCAGGUUGCCGCACGUCGAAGACAGGACGACAACCAUGUCAGCAUUGUACACUAACAUGAGGUGCUUGACGCCAUGCCAACACGAUGGCUCUAACAUGACAAUGCUCUUCGCAUGGACCAACAAGGAGUUGAGCACCUCCAGCACAAAGAAGAAACAAAGACAAAAGGGGGUCACCUUGCCACAGGCCAUGACGGUGAAGAAUAUGCCUCCCGGGCACCCUAUUGAGGGUGUCUACUGUAGAAUCAUCCACACCAACUCGUUGAAUCCGUUGCCAGUGCCGGCGUGCCAUCAGACCAUAUGAGGAAGGGCCAUGAGACUGAAUCGAAUGCCUUCGCAGUGUCAACCUUGAGCAUAAGGGUUGCGAUGUGUCUAAUGUGCAAGCCUGUAGUGGUGAGCAUGAAGGAGCUCUGGUUUUCCUUGAUCAGUUCUGGGAGCCGAGGCAUGAUGUGGAGAGCAAGCAACUUCGAGAAAAGCCUACCAAAGGUAUGCAACAAACAGAUCAGGUGGAAUUGUGCGAGCUUAUUCGAGUUUUUCUUCUCUGCACUAAGACAAUGAGGGCAUCAUUAGGCUCGACGAGGCAACCCGGUAUAAGCAAAUAGAGCUUGUGGACGACUACGGCAAGCUCAUCUUUGAUGAUCUCCAAAGCGAGUUGGUAAAAUAACUCUACGAGGGAUGGCGCACCCCAUGAUGGACGAGUAGUCUGCCAGCGUCUACUCCUUAUCCUCAUGGGUCAAGGCGACAAUACUGUCACGGGCAAUGGUAACCAUGUAAUUUUUGCAAUGGCAGUGGCACACAUGGAUGUAGAAGUAGCACGUGUUUGCGUCUCCCUCGGCUAGCUAGUGGAAGCGGAGGGCUGGCGUGGGAUGAUGCACUUGAGGGAGGCCAAACCAAGCAACUUAAGCUUCAACUCUUUGCGUAGAUUAAACUCCUUUUGGGACAGCUGUCGGGACUCCUGCACCACGUUGAGCUGAAAAAUGAUUUCCUUAGCCAUGAGCUGUUGUAGCUUGAUGCUGCCAAUAUGCCGGUUGCUCCACAGCUACAAUGUGUUGUCCAUAUGCUCCAGCAGGACACCCAAACACUAGAGUUGGCGAAGGUGCGACGACACAUGCUAGGCAUCAGCAACCACCUGGCGGAAGCCAUCAAAAUUGGGCCAGAUAUCCUUGAAGUGGGACUGGUGAGCCCUAGGCAUGAAAAUCUUGGUGUACACGCUAAAUCUAAUGCCAUGGAGUAUCCGCGCGGAAAAGCAACUAGGAUGUCAUUACCCCCGAUUCGUUGAACAGAACAAGCGGUCUGGCUGCACCAACGUUGGUGACCGUCGCUUGUUGCUCGAACUGUAGCGUCGCCCGAUGAGGUUGAUCUCGCAAAGCCCAAGGUCAAGGAAACGGUGAAAUCUGCCCAUCUAUCUUCUUUCUAGGUUAGCGUUAUUCUUACCCGCCCCCGCCUGCUAGAUCAAGUUGAAGUCACCGGUAACGACCCAAGGACCAGGUUGCGAGGAGCGCAACGCAGCUUUUGGAGGAAAGCAAAGUGAUUUGCAUCAGCUAAAGGACCACAUACGGUUGACAAUCACCAAGGGAGUGCCUAAGGCAAACACAGAGGGCAAAGGUUCGAGUCAGUGCAUUAAGGCCUCACACGUUUCAAGAAGACCACGCCGAACUAAGGAUGAGAGACGAGAGUAACACAAGUAACCAAGGCGAUGCCCCCACUGCUAAAAAGAGCUGGUAGACAAGGCAACAGAGGUGGAGAGACCGGCGGCGGUAGCAACAGAGGGAAAGUGAAGCCAGUCAAGCUCCCAGAGGCCCUGGGAGUUAUGACAUCGGGGUCCAGCACCAAGGACAACACCAGUGUGACGGUCCGAAACAGUGCAUGAGUCAAAGUCGAGAAUUACCCAACAACCAGAGUCAACAAUCUGACCACCAAAAAUGAGCUGCAUGGUAUGUUGAGGAACAUGAAAGGACAAAGUGCUAAGAAGCCUUUGGCUAUUAACAAGGAGGGAGGUACCUGUUAGGAUAUAUGCAACUGUAUUUCCAGGUGGCCAUAUGCCAUUGUAUACACGUACAAGUGUUUUACAAUAUGCAAAAAAACCUUUAUAGAGUGGGGAAAAUACAAAGGGGUACACGACUAAAUAUAUAACUCUUAACUCCCCAUCCCUCAAACUCAUGGUGGAUCAACAACACCGAGCUUGGAGAGAUAGAUAUAGAAGUCAUGUUGUGCUCUAGUUUGGGCCUUCCUAAAGAAAUGUUCCAACUGUAACUCCGAAGGCACAUACUGAGGAGCCAUAAUCCGAAUUUUGCACACAAAAAAAAGCAUCAAAGCCAAUAUGCUUGGUGAGUUCAUUCUUCGUUGGGUCGCGCGCAACACUACGAGCACAUGUAUUGUCAAAUAAGAGCAAAGUAGGUGUAGUGACAGAAAUACCAAACUUCUGAAGUAACCACUGCAACCAAGUCACCCCUGCCGUCAAAAGAGCCAUAGCUCAAGGCUCAGCCUCUGCACUCAAACGUGAAAUUGUAGUCUGUUUCUUUGUCUUCGAGGCAGUGAGAGAAUUAGUCCACAUAGCAUUUGAAUAGGCCUGACGCUGUAAUGAACUAGAGCAGGGAAAGAACAUACGGUGAGAGAUCGUGCCACGAAGAUAUCAGAGAACACAAAGGAGAAGGAGGUGACUAUAGUGAACCAAUGUGGGUGCAAAGACAAACUGACUCAAACUAUGCACGGGAUAGGAGAUAUCUGGAUGAGUAACAUCUAGAUAAACAAGACUCCCAACAAGAUGACGAUAACACGUCGGAUUAGACAAGGGUCACCAUCACUAGCACGAAGGUGAACAUUGAGCUCCAUGGGAGUCUCAACAGUGCACUCAUCAGUAAGAGCAGCAUGAGCAAGAAGAUUCUGGAUAUAUUUUUCUUGGAAAAUAAAAAAGCCAUCAGAGGUAGAAGAGACCUCUAUCCCAAGAAAGUAGGCGAAAAUCAGACAUAAGAAACUGCUCACUAAGACGUGCUUUCACAAAGGCAAUAUACUGAGGGUCGUUGCCAUUGAUGAUCAUGUCGUUAGCAUACUCAGGGUCGGCAGAGACGCUCAGGGUUGUAGGGACGGUCAUUAGGCUAGCGGCGGAUGGAGCAUCGAGGCCCAAGCUCUAGGCGGUGCAUGCAUCGCGGGUGGAGGAACGGUCGGCGUGGGGCGCAAGGAGCAGCAGGUGCGGAACUGUGGGGCUUUAUCUCCCCUUGUCUAGCACAGGCUGCUGUAGAAGAUGAAGGGAAGUCAGGGCGCCUCAAACGGCGGCAGCUCCCCUCUGGCUUGGACCAGAACCCCGGCAGCCACGGAAGUGCAGAGAAGCAAGCAUAGCAAAUGGCGCAGCCGCCUCCUCCCCUUGCUUGCUUCCUCUUCUUGGAGCCCUGUUCCAGCUCUCUCUCUCUCUCUCUCUCUCUCUCUCUCUCUUUAAUAUAUAUUACCCUGGAUGAAGAAUAACUUAUUCUUCAUCCCGGUCAAACGACCCACCAAGUCGGACUCCCUUCGUAUCCGCUCGGUUGCCCCACCAAAAGAAAAUAACAAUUCCCACCACGGCUGGCAGACAAUGAUUUUUUUUAUGUUAGCGAGGAAAAGAAAACUCCGCCUAUGUUGUCUCAACAUAGCCGGUCCCAAGCCCGGGUAAAGGAGGAGGGUUGUGAUGGGCUUGGCGAGCCAAUGUAAAAACUCAGCCACUCUUAUGGAGAUGAAACCCAAAAGAUUUUCGUUGGGGCUUAAGCGUGCAAAGAAUCUCAAGAGAGGUCGGGGUAGACCGAAUUUGACAUGGGAGGAGUCUGUUAAGAGAGACCUGAAGAUUGGAGUAUCACCAAAGAACUAGCUAUGAACAGGGGUGCGUGGAAGCUUGCUAUCCAUGUGCCAGAGCCAUGAGUUGGUUGCCAGAUCUUGUGGGUUUCACCUGUAGCCUACCCCAACUUGUUUGGGACUAAAGGCUUAGUUGUUGUUGUUGUAGCGAGGAAAAGAAAAUUUGGUCGUGGGUAUUGCGAGCUAGCCUCCCCGCAGUUUCUGGGAAGCGCGGGCUCCACUACCAGCAGCAUCGAGGUCGGAGGCGAGGGUUGAUCGUUUCGGCCGCGAGCGGGCGGUUUUGCGUUGGGUGUCCUCGUCGGCGCUUGGCUUCAGCCACGGAGGAAUCGGGGCCUCGGCUUCGCGGCGACACAUUACAGCGUCCCUACUGUUGUGCUUCUGCUCUCGGUUGAUUCGGGAGUGGGCAUCAGCGUGUGAAAUCGACUGCAGAGGAUUAGGGCCUGGGGCAUCGCAUCUUCCUGCCGGUGGAAGGCCUGCGUCCCCUCGAGGCUGGUACGUAUUCUGGCAAGGACAGAGGUUCUUAGCCAUUUUUCAUUGUGUGUGUAUUCUUUAGAUUCGCGUAUAUUCUUCAGUAAUGCUCCCAAAUCUCUGCUCACUCCAGAAGUCCAGAUACAGUGCAUCACGUAAUUUUCUUGUUUAGUUGCCAUUAGCCAACUUCACAGAAUUCAAGUUGGAUUUAUUUGAACGGCAAUGUCUCGAGCUUUUGGGGAGCAACAGUAAUUACAAGCUUAGCUAGCGCCAUACCAACACUUUGCCAUUGUGAGGAUUUGCAUCCCACCUCUACCCCAAUGUCACAAGUAAAAUUAUUGUGAUUAUCCAUCUGAUGACAUGAGUAAUUUAACUUUUGUUCUGUGUUUCAUGUUGUCUGGAGCAAUGUUUGGUUCCUAGCAGUUUCCAGAUGGAUUUAUUUCCAUUGCAAUGAGAACGACUGUCAAUAUUUGCUGAAUUUUUGGUCAAGACUCAACCCACAAACCAAGAGGACUUAACCCUCUUCUCCUUGAUCUCCUUGAUAGUCCAGCAAUCAGCAAGUUGAAAAGAUUUAAAUCAAGGUUCCAUGAUAAUUCUUUUGAAUCUUCCUGUAAGGGCUUGACAGACCAGUUUUUAUCCGGAAGAAAGGCCUUUAGCGUGUGUUUGGAUCUGAAGAACAAAGCAAGAUAUGGCUGUCAUUCCUUCUAACUUGGCUAGUUACUAGUAUCUCCUUGAUCCUUUGAUAAGAUGCGCUGAAUAUAUUCAAGGUUUCUAGCGGGAAUCACUUCUUCAUGGCCAUUCUGGUGAUAAUGGUUGUACUCCAGGUGCUGAUGGUCCAAGAAUUGUAAAGAUAAGGCGGGGGAACCUUAUUUGUGUGGUGGAUGCAAUUAUGUUAUGAGGUCAAUUUGUAAUUUAUUAUACUGCAGUUAUGGACCAAGCCAUGAAUCAGUACCAAAAUUCAGGAUUGGUGAGAAGAAACGUGAACUUAAAAUGUUUUUAGUAUCCUAAUCUUGACUUGUCGCUGAUGGACCACAAUGUUCAAGCUCGGCAGAUACUACCUCCGUCCUGAUUUAUUGGUACCAUCGUAUUUUGUGUUAAUGUUUGACCAUAGAUUUAACUAACAAAAUACUAAUGCAUGUCACAAAAAUUAUAUCGUUUGCUUUGUAUUUGAACAUAGUUUAAGAUGAUAUUAUUUUUGUUAUGUAUAACUUAUAUUUAUUAGUUAAAAUCAUGGUCAAAUUAUGACAUUGAAUACAAGGGGACUAAUAAACCAGGACGGAGGUAGUAAUGUUGAACAACUAAAAUUAUUGGAUCUCAAGACAGUUUAGAGAUGUGUCCAGUCUUGGCAUUCCCAAGUAAUCAUUGGUGUUCAUUUUUGAAAUACUGCUUUGUACUUCCUCCGUAACAAAAUGUAAGACGUUUUAUACCCUAUGCAAACCAAAAAAAGAUCUUACAUUUUGGUACAAAGGUUGUAGUUUUAUUUUCCUGUAGCUGGUUAUUGAGUGGCAUGUAGUAGAUUGAGAUGAAGGAUGUGAGUGAAGAUUUGACAUGUGAGAGGCAAUCAACGAUGCAAGUCGUGAGAGCAGUUGAUGUAAAGUGACAAUCAUCAUGUGCGGAGGUCACGAGAGGAGUCGUUAAAGAGCGACCAUGAAGGCCAGCAGAAGACGAGCACCAAGCAUUACAGAAAGGUGUAUGCGAGACGGAGCCUAUGUAAGGGACACCGCCAAGAGUUAGUGGGCAGCAAGGGAGAUGUGUAUCGGAUGAAAACAAUGUAUUUAUUUUUAUUUUUUUUAUUUUUACCUAAAUACUUCAUCGUGUGCGCGCACGAUUUCGCUAAACCGAGCGGCCGCGCCUUGACCGCUCGUUGCGAGCAUAUCGCACGACCCACGAGCGCCAGGUGUUUCCUGGUCGGGGUGAGAUGCAGUUCUCUCACGCGCUAUCCGACAAAACACAGCGCCACCGCCCGCGCCUUAUUCGCAGCGUCCCUUUAGCUGCCGCCGUUGGACCCUCGCCGCCCAGCGCCCCUCCAGCUGCCGCCCCACCCUCUAGCGCGUCUGCCGCUGCACCUACACAGCCGGAUGCAACCCCGCGCUUUUCCCGGCCGGCGACCCCACCCAUCCGAGGUCCUCCUCCCCCUCACGUCGCCCGCGACCCCGUCCUCCUGCUGACCGCCGCUAUCCGUCUCUGGCGCGCCGCCGUGCGGGAACCCGAACCGAUUCGAGGAGCUUCACGCUGGAUCCGCCCAUCCCACGGCUUCCUGUGGAGCUCCGCCGUCUAGACGCCUUGCCGACGCCGGUGAGUCCUGCGCUGCCACCCCUCGUGCCACAGCCGCGAGGCUCGGAUCUCGCCCCGUCUCAACACCAUCCAUUUCAUCUUCGGCGAGGACUGGCCGCUCAUGGAGCUCCGCGUCUUCCAGGAGGUCUUCUCCAGGGCGCCCGCACUGGUGGAGGCUUCUGGGUUCACGGGGAAGCAUUCGGGGUGGUCGUGAUGUUGCUGCUUCCCGGUGCUCACUUCGUACAGAUGUGCCCGGAGGCGAGCCUCAAGGUCUAGCCGCCUCCGCUGUUUCGCGGCGACCACAUGGUCAGGUGCAUGCCGGAGGAGGCCUUGUCAUGGAAGCGUCAGGCGUGUGUGCAUUAUCAAAUCACAGAGGUGAUCCUUUCGAUUUGGAUAUCAACGUGAGUAUUUAGUGCCCAGGAGCAUGGUGCUCACCCGAAUGCUAAUAAAAGAUUUUCAGUGUGCUUUGCGGCUCUCAAUGUCCUACUGCCAAGGCUUUAGGUUAGUUGAUUAUAAUUCCUGCACUGCGGCACAACCAAGAAUUCAAAUCUUGGUUGAAUAUCAUGAUCUUACAUUUUGUAGUGCUUUUUCUUGAGAAAAUUAUCAAAUAGUUGUAGUUGCACA